GACGAACGCUGGCGGCGUGCCUAACACAUGCAAGUCGAACGGAAUGAGGGGGCUUGCUCCUUCAUUUAGUGGCGCACGGGUGAGUAACGCGUAAAUAAUCUGCCUGAUGAUCUGGGAUAACAUCUCGAAAGGGGUGCUAAUACCGGAUAAGCCCACGGGGACUUUGGUCUUUGCGGGAAAAGGGGGGGACCUUUUGGCCUUCUGUCAUCAGAUGAGUCUGCGUACCAUUAGCUAGUUGGUAGGGUAAAGGCCUACCAAGGCUACGAUGGUUAGCUGGUUUGAGAGAAUGAUCAGCCACGCUGGAACUGAGACACGGUCCAGACUCCUACGGGAGGCAGCAGUGGGGAAUGUUGCGCAAUGGGCGAAAGCCUGACGCAGCAACGCCGCGUGAGUGAUGAAGGCUUUCGGGUCGUAAAGCUCUGUCAGGGGGAAAGAAGUGUAUUGUGGCUAAUAUCCACGAUACUUGACGGUACCCCCAAAGGAAGCACCGGCUAACUCCGUGCCAGCCGCCGCCGUAACAC
rnacentral:rRNA from 1 species